UACAGAGGGUGCGAGCGUUAAUCGGAAUUACUGGGCGUAAAGCGUGCGUAGACGGUUAUUUAAGUCGGGUGUGAAAGCCCCGGGCUCAACCUGGGAAUUGCAUUCGAGACUGAAUAGCUAGGGUACGGUAGAGGGAAGUGGAAUUUCCGGUGUAGCGGUGAAAUGCGUAGAUAUCGGAAGGAACAUCAGUGGCGAAAGCGGGUCGUCUGGGCAUCUCCUGACGCUGAGGCGCGAAAGCGA
rnacentral:rRNA from 1 species